GGGUAUAUGUGCCACAUUUUCUUAAUCCAGUCUAUCAUUGUUGGACAUUUGGGUUGGUUCCAAGUCUUUGCUAUUGUGAAUAGUGCCGCAAUAAACAUACGUGUGCAUGUGUCUUUAUAGCAGCAUGAUUUAUAGUCCUUUGGGUAUAUACUUCGCAAAAGAAGACAUUUAUGCAGCCAAAAAACACAUGAAAAAAUGCUCAUCAUCACUGGCCAUCAGAGAAAUGCAAAUCAUAACCACAAUGAGAUACCAUCUCACACCGGUUGGAAUGGCAAUCAUUAAAAAGUCAGGAAACAACAGGUUCUGGAGAGGAUGUGGAGAAAUAGGAACACUUUUACACUGUUGGUGGGACUGUAAACUAGUUCAACCAUUGUGGAAGUCAGUGUGGCGAUUCCUCAGGGAUCUAGAACUAGAAAUACCAUUUGAGCCAGCCAUCCCAUUACUGGGUAUAUACCCAAAGGACUAUAAAGCAACUGCUUUCUAAGUGGGAUGGCUGAAGCAAGAGACCUUAAAUCACUUGACUGUCUUCACAAAACAGAACUGAAGCAGAACCAGAAGUCCCCUGAUAGCCUUUCAGGGACACCACCUACAAAUACACCGUAAUCCCUCAUACUCCACACGCCACUUCAGGGAAAGGGACAUGAGGCAGGAAUACAAAUAUAUACCAUCUGUGACACUUCCUAAGCUCCUGGCUUCAGAGUAGCCAUCCUGAUAAUUAUUUUUUAAAGUCCACAUUAUAAAUGUGCAAGUUAAGUGAGUUAUGGAAAUCAUUCCAGAUACUGGUUCACCAGUAACAUCAGUUUAGCCCUAAAUAUUGUCAUAAGUUCUCUGAUAGGCUCAUGUGAUUUAAGCUGGUGCUCUGUCAAGACUAGACUUAGGCGUUUUAUCCUUUUUAUGACAUUAUGUAUGUUGAAGAGAAUAUAUGAAUAUAUAUAAAACCUUCAUUAUCACAUUAUUCUCAAUCCAGCAUUUUCUCAGCCCCUGAUUUUCAUGUUAGUUCAGCAUUCUUACAUCUUUACAGAUUUUCAUCUAAGACUACAUUUCUAUUGUUUUAUAUAAUCAGCCCCCCUAAGAUCAACAUGUCCACAUUUUUUGGCAAAGACAAAGCCUACUGAUUUCAGGAUCAUUAUUUUCCUUUUUCAAAAGCACAAACCCAAACUGAGAAAUAAAUCAAGAGAAAUUCUCCUUUUUUCUAUGCUAAUUUAGAAGUAGAGUCUUUAUUUCUUUUCAAACCCAAAGAGAAUCAGACAUACAAUAUGAAUUUAUCUACUUUCGCUUGCUCAGACUGAGAGGAAAGAUUAAUAUUUUCAGGCUGUUAGUCAAAACUGUUCAUUCAAAUAUUAUUUAAUAAAAUCCAAGAACCAGCUAAAAAGUCGCUUAAGCUAAGAAACCUUCACCAGCCUCAUGGGAAAUUGUGUACAGUUUUCCACUAGAAUAGCCUAUAAAUGCUUACUGAAAAUGUCUAAGUUCAUAUCUUGGUAACUAACAUUUUAAUUCAAUCUGCAGAAUAAUAUAUGCUUCUUUAGUGCUAAGAUAUGAAUAUUAGAGGCAUUCUUUCUUAAAAUUUCUAUUUAGUUAUACUUUCACAAAUAACUAUAUAAUAUUAAAAUUCUGCAUGUGGCAUAAAACAUAUUUUAAUGGAGAAGGUAAUGUGUAGGGAGUUUAUUUCUGUUUGCUAUUAGAACUUGUGUUUAUUCUUGGUUAAAAAAACUGCAGAUUACAACAUAGAAAAAAACAAAAGUAUGUUGUAUAUCUCUUACAGUAGAAGAUAAAGAGUAGUUCUAAAUUUAGAAAGGAAAAAUAAAUAUACACAGUGAAAAUAUGUGUCAGUGAGAUGUUAAUCAAAGAUCAACUAUUGCUGAGACCAGCAAUAUUAAAUCCCUGCACAAUUACUCAUAUUAUAAUGAGAAUUUUAAAAAGAAAAUAUGAACACAUAACAUAAUGAAGGCAGAAGUCACUCUCAUCCUUCAUCUUUGUAUUCCCAAUUCAGGAAGCUGGUAUAGUAUCUUCAUUAUAAUUACUAUUCAACAAACAUUUGUAAAAUGAAUGAAUAAGGAAUGAAUGAUGAGAAAAAUGAUAAACAUCUCCCUCUGUCUCCUGGGAGUUAACUGCACUACUUUCUUUUAAAUUUAAUUAAUCCUCAAUGUCCUUGUAAAAUAGCCAAAGGGAAAAUGUAUUUACAUUACUCUAAAUAUUGAUGCAAUCUACAAAAAGUGUUAAACAACUUCCUCAAAGUAAAUAAAAUGUUCACAAUCCAGCUAGGAUAAAAGGAUUUAAAUCAUUUCCUAGGUAGAGGGCUUUCAAUUAGAGCCCCUGCUGCAUUAACCAUGGGAACUCAUCUCACUCUCUUCAUGAUGGAGCCCUGAGUGUUGCUGCUAAUCUGUACUCUACCAUUCUAAUGCUUUUAAGGUUCCUUUUCAGCCCUUCCUCCUCGUAAUCCACAAAUACUGAGACCAAGGCAUUUUUUGGGUCAGUCCUAAUUUCAAGCAUUCUAUCCUGCCCUCCCCAAAUGAACUCACACUUAUUAGACCAUAUGUUCCUAUAUUAGUUCAGGAAGGGGGAAAAAAUGUUAAUCACACUUGUAUAUAAGAGAUCAUAGAAAAACAGUUUACUAACCUGUGAAAAUACCAUUCAUUCUCUGUUUACCUCUGGUCCACAGCUAAGCAAUCAGCAGGAUAUAAAUGUACCCUAUGUUCACUAUUCAGUAUUCAUAAGUAUACUACUUAUGAAUUGGAAAUCUGACACAACAUUUACAUGACCUAAUUUUGAAAAUUUAAAAUAGUGUAAGGCCCCUAGGCUUAAUUUUACAGGGGAAAGAUUAAAGGGACACAAGCAAACAUAUAUUCUCUCUCUGUGCUGUGGGACACUGGUAAUUUUUUGACUUAAAAUAUUUGAUACUUAAAAUGCCAAACUUCUACAUUUCUGCAGUAACAAGGCAGUUAUCAUAUUGAAUACCAUUUCUUUCUCUCCAGUAAGUAGAGUUAAUAUUAGCACAUGAACUGAAAAUAUUAAGUGAUUAUAAAAACGUCCAAAUAAAUUCAUUAAAAUUUAGCUUGGCAAAAUGUUAGUUUCAUGUUCUUGGUAGAAGUCCUUUUAUAUUUAUAUUCAAAUGAAAUGAACAAUUUACAAGCAAAGGAAAUGGCAUCAAAUAUUUCACACCCUGCCUCCCAAGGUGUAUUGAUUCAUGCUUUUUGCUCAGAUCUAGGUUUCUCCACUCAGGAAAAGAGGAGAAUGUACCCAUACUUGGGAAAACAAGUUUCCGAUGGCACAGCUUUGAUCAAACAGCAAAAUUCUAUCCAUCUAUGUAUUGCCAUCUGACAGUAUGACAAAUGGUCCCAUGUGCGAUAUUCACACUGCAUUGCAGUCAAACCUUCCUUCAACUGACAGCUUAAAGAACUUCAGGUUGUUCUGAUUCUUGAGCCUCCUCUACAGCUUCAGAGAGGACUUUCAUUUUAUUUUGGAUCAAAUGCUCCACAACUAGUUGAAACUGGAAUUAAAUUUUAUAUGAAGUUCCUAGAUGAUUUAAAGCUGUAAGAAGAAGAAUAAUGAAUCAUAAGAAAACUUGCUGCUACAGAUAUCAAAAAGGAAUGUUACCAUCCCUCAUGCUAAUCCUUUUCAUUUUAAAUAAACAGGAUCUAAAAAAAAUAAUGCUGGGAAGUCCUAACCACAUCAAGAAUGCCUCAGAUCAGUGACCCAGGGAACCUUCCAGAAUGGAUGAAAUAGACCCAAAGCUGAAUUCACCUAAUUUUAGGGCCAAAAACCCAAAAAACAAAACAAGACCAAAAAAAUCUUCAGAUACUGGGAGAACAAAUCUCAAUUGCUCAAUUGUAUCUUAUGAAAACAAUUUUUCAAAAUAAAACAAGAGAUAUUUAAGAUUCAUUAAGUUCUUGUCAUUUCAAAUUUUAAGAAAAAUAUUUUCUAAUGGAAUUACAUAUAUUUAUAUGAUUCUUCUAGUUAUAUCCAUGGUAAUAAAUACUCUUUUCAGUUGGAAAUAAAACCCAUUUGUGCUAUAUUAUUAGGGAAAAUAUCUACAUAAAUUAGUUUUUAAUUUAACUAAAGUCUAUCUUUUGAAUUCAUAAGCAUAAAAUUUUAACCACUUGCAAAAUUUAUAACACACUUAAGGUAGUCAGAUGCCUUGUCAAGUAGUUUAACAAAAGUGAUUUUCACCUGUUUGUUUUAAUAACAGUGCAUCGAUUUUAUGAAAAUCAGGCAUGCCCUCGGGUCCUAACAAAGUAUACGAAGCUGAAUGGAUCUAUGCCAAAUAUGCCAGAUUUUACUUUCUGAGUCUGAUUUUAUACUUCUGUCCUCUUUCUUACCACAUGGCUUCCAGUAUCACUUACAGACUAACCCUUCAAAAGGAGAAGGCUAAGUUACUAACAUUUGGAAGGCUUAUGAAAGUGAAGCAUAGUUAUGAGCCAGCAAUGUUUUUAUUUAGGGAAUGUGUGCAAACCAUACACUUAAGCAAGCUCUGGGGAAUGAGAGUUGGGGGGAAUCAACUCUUUUAUUUGCUAAUUGGUAUUUCCUUUAAAAGAUAGAGUUCUUCCAGAUUUUAACUGUGUUAAUAGUUACUCUAGAAAAAUUGGAGAUUUGUGUGCAUAUAUUUUAUGUUGUAAACAGACACAUACCCAGAGACACUGAGAGAGACAGACAGACAGUAAACAGAGGAGCACUAACCACAAACGGUUUACAAAUGACCUCUGUGCUCAUUCACCUGUCUGUUCCCCACCUUGCCUUUUAUAGCAACUAUAGCAACAGCCAUGAGAGUCAUUGUGGAAAGAAAUAAAAUAAAAUUAAAAAAUCCUGGAAGCUUGUAAAGAAUGUGAGCAAAGGGGAGGAAGUUGUGAAAAAAAUGAAUAAAGGGCACCGAUCCAGAGUAUUGAAGAAGGCAGAGUGGAGAGCCUAGUAAUGAGUAUCUGGUACCCCAGUAUCCUCUCCCACAGAAUCUGUACAGCUCUCCGUUUAUGACAGUUUAAACUUAAUUUAAAUUAUCAAACAGACACUUUCCUCAAACAUAUAAAUGAUGAGGCAGUUCAUUCAGGCUGUAUGUAUAAAGUUGUUCCAGCCACCUUUUUCUAAUGGCUUCUCUAUAUCUUUUACAUGGAGACAAUGAGAGAUUUGCUUAGGACAAUUUGACUGUAAUUUAGAAGUAGGAAAUGGGAAGUAUUUGUAUCUUCUUUGCCUAACUCACAUUAGUUACUCAAGUAAGCAUUUCUUCCGUUAUUGCAUUUUCCUGAUUACAAGUUUUAUGUUUUCUCUAAAACACAUAUCAAAAGAAAUGUCCUAAGCACUAUGCAGGGGGAAGCCAUGACAUUUAUCCACCACUGUCAGCAAAAACAUGAACUUAGCCCUCAACAGAAUAUUUCACUUCAUUCUAGUGUCACCUCUGCGUCACCUGCACUGGAGUCACCACUUGCCUGUUGGGUAAGACCAGGAUGCACCGCUGAAAUAAAAAGGGGUCAGACAAUACAAGAAAAGCCAGUAGAAAUUGCCAAAUGUAUCAGAAUACACACAGGCUUUCUAAGGAUAUGGCCCAAGAGGAAGGCUCUAGAGCCCACCCUGAAACAGGAUUUUUGACUUCACAGAUAAAUUAUUUAAUUUUCAAUAACACAAUUCAAUUAAAGAAAGGGAAAUACAAGGCUAAACAAAUAAGAAAUGAAGACAAAAACCCAACCUUUCAAAUCUAAAGAAAAUAAUCUGUUUUAAAGACACAGAUGAAGAUCAGGAACCCAAAACAGAAGAAAGGAAAGGCAAUUAACGCUGGCAUCUGAUAACAACGAAAAGUAUGGAGUCUGGAGAAUCGCUAGACUCUAAAAAUUAUAAAGGUUUAGACUUGGACUUUGUACACUGAAGAAAAGAAAACUGCAUGCAUUUAUACUGACCAAUGUACACUAUUGCUGCUUUUUAACUUUUGUGUAUAUGUAGGGUAGAUUUUUUUUUAAGUGAAAGCAAGCUUAUUAAGAAAGUAAAAGAAUAAAAAGGUGGCUUCUCCAUAGGCAGAAAACUAGCGUAGUUUUUUUAUUAGAAAUUGUUAUUCAAUAAUAGUACAUGUUACAAAUAAAUACCAUUUUAAACUGAAAAAAUUGUAGACUUUCAAAUCAGUUAGGGUGGUCACCCUAAAAAAGGGCAUUUUUUCCCCUUAGUCUCCUUGUUCAUGUUGCUCACAACAAGAAAUGGGCUAAUGCUAUGAAUAAUAAUAACAAACACUGCCUUCUGUCAGGCCCUGUGCUGAAUACCGUCUGCAUAUGUAUAGGAAAGGGUUAACUCAGCAGGUCUUGUUUGCCCAGACUCUGUACAUUUCCAAGAAAGGUCUGCCUUUAGGACUGGUCCUUGGCCAGCUCCUGGAGAAUGAGCUCUCAGCUUUUAGAAAAUUCUAUCUGCUAAGAAUAGUUUUGCAUGUCUCAGGUCUUGGGCCACAAAAUAUCAGUUUAAUCAGAUGGUUUAUGUUAACAAGUAUGAUUUAUGGCAAACAUAGAUCUCUAAUCUCCAUUUCUCUCUCAUAUAUCUAUAUUUAUCUAUCCAUAUAUAUGUACCUAUAUAUAUCAAAUAUGAAGAUAUGUUUAUAGCAAUUGCAUAUAAAUAGAGAGAUAGUAUGUAGUAGGAAGAGAGACAUAGAUAUUAUUCUUCAUUUUAGAAUGUUAUCUUGGUAUGUUUAAAAGGAAAAACUUAAGAUGUGUUGCAAUUGCAGUAUGAGUUUCAGGUAUGUACAUGUUAUGUGUGUGUGUGAGAGACACACACAAACACAUUUCAAACAUGUUUUAUGUUUAAGCUCAAUAUUCAAACACAGAAAUAUAACAUCUAUUCUUAAUAUGUUUUAUGUAAGUACAGCAGCAGCAUUAUUAAAUACUGUAUUUCUAUGGUGAUUGAAAAUUAGUAGGCAGAGAAUUUUUGUAAUGGUUCUUAAUAAUUUUUGUAAUAGUAAAUGAUUACUUUUUGUUUAGUAUAGUUUUAUAAUCUAUACAUGAAUAAAGUGGAUAUUUCUAUUCAUAUAGAAAUGUGAUUUACUCUCAUGUACUUAUCUACAUGCUAAAACCAUAAGUUAUCAAUUUUAGUUCUGUGCCAAGGCACUUUUACUGAAUAAAAAUAAUCAGCUAAUUUUAUAUUUUCCUGAUUCAAAUUUAUAUGCCCGUGUAAUGUUCCGGGGUUUUUUUUUUUAAUUUCUGUAAAUCAGAAUAUUCAGAUGUUGAAAAAGUCUUUGCCUUCAGAUUUAAAAGAUACCUUUGAAAUGUAGCAUAUCCCAAAAUGCAACCCAGAGGCUGGCAAUGUCAACAUUUUUCUGUUUUAAAAAACCUCUUAUGAAAACUAUUGCCAUACUAAAUUUUUUACUUGCUGAUGACUUACAGCUGGAAAGGAUUCUGUACAUAUAAGACAUCAAAUAUUGAGGAUACUGGAACUUUUAAAUUAAUGGCAAAGAAAGUCAACAAAGGAAGUUCAUAUGAAAUCAAACUAGUAAUAUGAUUACAAAAAAAAAAGUUUAAAAUUUUUCUUGGCCCCAGUCUUAUCAUUUCUGAGCCAAAUACAAUUCUAUCGAAAUCACCUGAAACUGAAAUCACCAUUCUAGGCUGGUUUUCCCAUAAAGAUGGACUGCUCCAAAAAGAGGAAUCAAGAAAGAAUUUGGCUCACAGUGAAUUAUUCACUUUGUCUUAGUUAAGUAAAAAUAAAAUCUGACUGUUAACUACAGAAAUCAUUUCAAAUUCUGUGGUGAUAAUAAAGUAAUGACCACUUUUCAGCUGGAGGGACUAACUUCUUUUUUUUUUUUGCUGCAUAUAUAGCUGUGGUACAUUUUAAUGUGAAAUGAUGACUGCAUCAGCUUAUAUCCAUGGAGCAGAUUUUAGCAUUCAGCUUGGGUCUCCCAGUCAAUAUCUACGAGUCUCUUCUUAAGGAGAUCGAUGACACAGAUACAUACAGACUAACAAAUGUGAUACCAAUAAUCAAGAAUUCACUCAGUUAAGAUUUUGCCCACUGAUUUCCACACAAGAAACCUAGAAUUUACUAGAUUCUUGUGCCUGUGAGGCUCCACUCAUUUCCCUGAAUCACAAAAGCUACAGAGUAUUUAGAUAGAAAUAUACCUACUCUUAACAUGAACCAUUUUAAAUAUAUGUAUUACUGUGUCCACAGGAGUACACUUUAAAGCAGGGACUUCACUCUUCAAUCUCUCCAAUCACGUGUUACCUAAAGUGGCAUGUGGUUCCCUAAAGCUUAAUAACUGACAUUGCCUUAAAAAAGGGGUUUGCUUCCCGACUAAUGUGGAAAAAGUCUGAAAAAUGAUUUUAAAUCUUUCACUAAAUUUCUCAUUUGGUCACGUGGAGGAAAAUGAUUUCACCAAAUAGAUACUCUCAUUAAUUUUUUAAUGUAAUUUAUCAAAGAAAUGAAAUAUUUAGAUAAAUUCCAGAUUUCCCCCACCAUGAGCUUCUCCGAAAGUAUACUCCAUCACAGACUGCUCACUAAGAAGCUCUACUGCAGUCAAAGUGACCGAAUUUAAGGGGACAUAAUGACUACUUCUGCUACACAGAAACAUUAUCCAUCUCUAACACUUCCCUAUGAGAUGGAAGACGGACUUCUAAUCAGGUACCAGAGAGGGCUCUGCCAACUUCAGGGCUUUGAUGAAUAAGAAUGGUUGAGAGCGCUCAUCAUAAAUGAAUUCAGUAUAACUGAGUGAGAAAGUGAGAGAACCAGAGAAAUAAAUCCUCAUGUAGAAAAUUUAGGGGUAUGAAAUGCCAAAUGCCAGUUAACCAAAGCUUUCUUUGUCAUAAAGCAACUUCUAUAAAAAUUGCUGAAAAUAAAUUCUUCAUGGCUCAAUGUGAAUCAGUAAUUUCCAUCUCUAUUACACUGUUGUUUACCCAAAAACUAUUUUUAAUGACUAAGACUCAGAGUUUGCCAGAGUGUUUUCCACAAAACAACUGUUUUGAGAUACUCCAGAUCUGUAAUCAAGUAAGUCUGAAAAACCCCAAAUACCUCAC
rnacentral:lncRNA from 1 species